AUCGAUGAAGAACGCAGCGAAAUGCGAUAAGUAAUGUGAAUUGCAGAAUUCAGUGAAUCAUCGAAUCUUUGAACGCACAUUGCGCCCCUUGGUAUUCCGGGGGGCAUGCCUGUUCGAGCGUCAUUAUAACCCCUCAAGCUCAGCUUGGUGUUGGGGCCUGCCUACUGGCAGCCCUUAAAAUCAGUGGCGGCGCCAUCUGGCUCUAAGCGUAGUAAUUUCUCUCGCUAUAGGGUCCCGAUGGAUGCUUGCCAGCAACCCCCAAUUUUUUAAUGGUUGACCUCGGAUCAGGUAGGGAUACCCGCUGAACUUAAGCAUAUCAAUAAGCGGAGGAAAAGAAACCAACAGGGAUUGCCUCAGUAACGGCGAGUGAAGCGGCAACAGCUCAAAUUUGAAAUCUGGCUCUUUCAGGGUCCGAGUUGUAAUUUGUAGAAGAUGCUUCGGGUGAGGCUCCGGUCUAAGUUCCUUGGAACAGGACGCCACAGAGGGUGAGAGCCCCUUAUGUGACUGGUUGCCUUCGCCCAUGUGAAGCUCUUUCGACGAGUCGAGUUGUUUGGGAAUGCAGCUCAAAAUGGGUGGUAAAUUUCAUCUAAAGCUAAAUAUUGGCCAGAGACCGAUAGCGCACAAGUAGAGUGAUCGAAAGAUGAAAAGCACUUUGGAAAGAGAGUUAAACAGUACGUGAAAUUGUUGAAAGGGAAGCGCUUGCAACCAGACUUGCACGCGGUUGAUCAUCUGGUGUUCUCACCAGUGCACUCUGCCGCGUUCAGGCCAGCAUCGGUUUUGGUGGUUGGAUAAAGGCCUUGGGAAUGUGGCUCCUCUCGGGGAGUGUUAUAGCCCUCGGUGCAAUGCAGCCUACCGGGACCGAGGACCGCGCUUCGGCUAGGAUGCUGGCGUAAUGGUUGUAAGCGACCCGUCUU
rnacentral:rRNA from 1 species